rnacentral:rRNA from 1 species
GGAUAACUACGGAAAAGCUGUAGCUAAUACUUGCUUUAGCACUCUUGAUUAAGUUCUUGAGUGUGUACUUGUUAAGCCUUUUAAGAAAAAAGUUAUUAACUUAAGGAAUUAUAACAAAGAAGUAACACGUAAUGGAUCCGUCCAUUUUUAGUGUGUAUCAAUCGAGUUUCUGACCUAUCAGCUUUUGAUGUUAGGGUAUUGGCCUAACAUGGCUAUGACGGGUAACGGGGAAUUAGAGUUCGAUUCCGGAGAGGGAGCCUGAGAAAUAGCUACCACAUCUAAGGAAGGCAGCAGGCGCGUAAAUUACCCAAUUCUAAAGAAGAGAGGUAGUGACAAGAAAUAACAAUACAAGGCCAAUCUGGCUUUGUAAUUGGAAUGAUGGGAAUUUAAAACCUUCCCAAAACUCAAUUGGAGGGCAAGUCUGGUGCCAGCAGCCGCGGUAAUUCCAGCUCCAAUAGCGUAUAUUAAAAUUGUUGCAGUUAAAACGCUCGUAGUUGAAUUUCAAAGAAUCGAUAUUUUAAGUAACGCUUUUAGCUUAAUCCACAUAACUGAUACUACGUAUCGACUUUGUGCGCAUUUUGCUAUUAUGUGUUCUUUUAAUUAAAAUGAUUCUUUUUAAGAUCUUUCUUUUGCUUCGGCAUUUGAAGAUCUUGUUACUUUGAGUAAAUUAGAGUGUUCAAAGCAAACAGAUAUAGCAUUGCGCGUUUGAAUACUACAGCAUGGAAUAACAAAAUUGAACAAGUCAGAAUUUUGUUCUUUUUUCUUAUUUUGGCUUAGUUACGAUUAAUAGGAGUAGCUUGGGGGCAUUUGUAUUCAGAUGUCAGAGGUGAAAUUCUUAGAUUUUCUGGAGACAAACAACUGCGAAAGCAUUUGCCUAAAAUACUUCCAUUAAUCAAGAACGAAAGUUAAGGGAGUGAAGACGAUCAGAUACCGUCGUAAUCUUAACCAUAAACUAUGCCGACUAGGCUUUGGAUGAAAGAUUUUAAAAUAAGAGAUUUUCUCUUCGGAGUUAAUC